GACGAACGCUGGCGGCGUGCUUAACACAUGCAAGUCGAACGGAAAGGCCCUGCUUUUGUGGGGUGCUCGAGUGGCGAACGGGUGAGUAACACGUGAGUAACCUGCCCUUGACUUUGGGAUAACUUCAGGAAACUGGGGCUAAUACCGGAUAGGAGCUCCUGCUGCAUGUUGGGGGUUGGAAAGUUUCGGCGGUUGGGGAUGGACUCGCGGCUUAUCAGCUUGUUGGUGGGGUAGUGGCUUACCAAGGCUUUGACGGGUAGCCGGCCUGAGAGGGUGACCGGCCACAUUGGGACUGAGAUACGGCCCAGACUCCUACGGGAGGCAGCAGUGGGGAAUAUUGCACAAUGGGCGGAAGCCUGAUGCAGCAACGCCGCGUGCGGGAUGACGGCCUUCGGGUUGUAAACCGCUUUCGCCUGUGACGAAGCGUGAGUGACGGUAAUGGGUAAAGAAGCACCGGCUAACUACGU
rnacentral:rRNA from 1 species